rnacentral:rRNA from 1 species
UACGGAGGGGGCUAGCGUUGUUCGGAAUUACUGGGCGUAAAGCGUGCGCAGGCGGUUUUGUAAGCCAGAUGUGAAAUCCCCGGGCUCAACCUGGGAAUGGCAUUUGGGACUGCAAGGCUGGAGUGUGGCAGAGGAGACUGGAAUUCCUGGUGUAGCAGUGAAAUGCGUAGAUAUCAGGAGGAAUACCGAUGGCGAAGGCAGGUCUCUGGGCUGACACUGACGCUCAUGCACGAAAGCGUGGGGAGCAAACAGG